AUUCCAGAAUUCAGGACACUUAUGCCAAGUGUUUGAUGAGAAAUUUUAUAUACAACCAUAUUUUAACCAAUGUCAGUAUGGGACCCUCCCAUUGACCUUCAUGCAAACACAUGAUUGCUCUUCAUUUUGAUAAAAUCAAAUAAUUUGAUCAUAUCAUUCUGAUAUAUCUGCAUAAAUCUAUGAAUGAAUCUUCGCAAUAUGAUCACCAUUACUGAAAAUGAAAUCCAUAGGCCACUACACAU
rnacentral:lncRNA from 1 species